GAAUUUGUAACUCAAGAUUCCUCCAUUUGCUGAAGAUGUCUGUUUGUGGCUUUUAAAGGUGGCUUGUGCGCGCGCCCCUUUUAGAAGAUCUUGGUGUGAUGCAGGUGUAUAAAACGCCCCUCGGGUGGAUCCCUACAGGGGUCCUCUCCUUUCCCUCGACUCCCCUGCCCCAUCACCCCAGGAAAGAACCAGAGGAAAGAACUGGAACCAUCGUGGAGGGUUCCUGUGUCCAGGCACCACGAGACAACAGGAUUGGCUCCAUUUUGCAGAUGAGGAAACAGACAGUGGGAAGGACCCAGAUGGUACAGUCAGACUGCCCUGGAUGGAAAUUCUGACUCCUGCUCCUACAGAUGACCUUGGACAACUUAUGGAACUGAGACUCUUUCCUCACCUGUUUCCUCGAGUCAUGAGACUUAAAUGACACAAUGCAAUCGAAGUGCCUCACAGAGCCUAGUACACAGUAGGUCUAAACACAUGGCAGUUUCUUUUUCCCUCGGGAGCCUUCUGCGCUCCUAGUGUACUGCUGAACACACAGUAGGAGCGCAAUAAACAUCCAGUGAUGAACUAAA